CCGGUGAAUUAGUUUACUAUAGAAAGAAACCAUCACUAAAGAUAAACACUUCGUUCGAAAUAUUUCUUCGGCAUAAUUUUGUCACAACAUAGUCUCAAUGGUCAGUUCAAGUAACGAAUAAGUCACAAAGGUAAGCUCAAGUCACAGCAUAAUCACAACUUUCAGUUGAAGUCACAGUCUUCAGUUGAAACCAUAACAAAAUCACAGUCUUCAGUUGAAGUCACAGUCUUCAGUUGAAACCAUAACAAAAUCACAGUCUUCAGUUGAAGUCACAGUCUUCAGUUAAAACCAUAACAAAAUCACAGUCUUCAGUUGAAGUCACAGUCUUCAGUUGAAACCAUAACAAAAUCACAGUCUUCAGUUGAAGUCACAGUCUUCAGUUGAAGUCACAGUCUUCAGUUGAAACCAUAACAAAAUCACAGUCUUCAGUUGAAGUCACAGUCUUCAGUUGAAACCAUAACAAAAUCACAGUCUUCAGUUGAAGUCACAGUCUUCAGUUGAAGUCACAGUCUUCAGUUGAAACCAUAACAAAAUCACAGUCUUCAGUUGAAGUCACAGUCUUCAGUUGAAACCAUAACAAAAUCACAGUCUUCAGUUGAAGUCAUAACAAAAUCACAGUCUUCAGUUGAAGUCACAGUCUUCAGUUGAAACCAUAACAAAAUCACAGUCUUCAGUUGAAGUCAUAACAAAAUCACAGUCUUCAGUUGAAGUCACAGUCUUCAGUUGAAACCAUAACAAAAUCACAGUCUUCAGUUGAAGUCACAGUCUUCAGUUAAAACCAUAACAAAAUCACAGUCUUCAGUUAAAACCAUAACAAAAUCAUAGUCUUUAGUUGAAAUUCCCAGCAUAGUCACAGUCUUCAGUUGAAGUCAUAACAAGGGAAAGAAAUGAAACAUAACACAAAUGUGAUGGUUUCAGUUGGACCACUUGAGGAUGCUUGGGUCCUUUUUUUUUAAUUCAUUUAAAAAGUGGUCAUGGUAAAAUUCACACGACACCCCCUUCUCCCCCCCCCCUCCUUUUUUCCCCAACUGGUCCAGACAGGUGAUAGUAUCAUAACACAUCGAGAAAGCUAAAAACAUGAAAUCGCAAGAAACAAAAAAUGGCAAAAUAUUUAUAAUUGCUCACAUUUAUUAUUGUUGGUCUGAUCUAUUACAAAUUUAAUUACAUGACUGAUCCAAACUAAUUGAUACAAUUACACUUAAUAUAAGCUUUGUUGUUUUUUUUUAAAAGUAACUUUCCCCUUUAAGACCUUGAGAUCUAUAGGGCAGAUGACAUAAAAGUCAUCUGUUUCUGUGGCCCAUGAUUAACGAGGGUGUCAUGUGGACAGCACAAUGACCAACCGACUUUUUCCCAAGUACUGUCAAGUAAUAGCUAGGAGGACUCAGGAGUGCCCUAAGAUCUUGAAAUUGAAAAUACCAGUCUUCCCCAGAAUUCGAACCCGGGACCCCAGUUCGGAAAGCCAAGCGCUUUACUACUCAACUCCCCCCCCCCCGGCUCCUUUUUCUUGUUUUAAGUUUAUGUAUUUUGUUUAGCAUGUGGAGACAACCUCUCAAAGUAAGAGCUUUUUCUUUAGUUAUUAAUGUAUGGUGCACCUUUUAUGCUAAUAGUAUACUCAGUGCACUCUAUCCAAGCUCUUUUGUGGAUCUGCCUUCAUGUGCUCAGAAAAUAAAACUCAGCUUGAGUCGGGAUUGGAAUUCAAGCUCCCUUGUUAGAUGGCCUAGCGGUUUAUAAUGCCACUAGCUGUGCCUGGGCGCAAGAAUUGGGUAUGGAAAAAAAAAACAACAGAAAAGUGGAGUAGAAAAUGACCUAAAAACUUGAGAUUACAUUUUUUUUUUCACAGGUUGCACUUGGAAAUAGAUAAUACUUUAUUAAUGAAAUAUAAGAGGCUUAAAGGUGUGUUAUUGACUACUUUAGACAAUGGCCUAUAAAAUGCUUAAUGAGGAGGGUUUUUUUUAAAUUAAUUACGUUUUUUUUUUUACUUAUAAUGAAAAUAUCACUUCUUUUGUUUUUAACAAUACAGAAAUUAAAAUAGAGUACAAAGGUUAAUAUUUUUUGUUUAUUAGAUAUCAUGCCUGGCUUUAAUUCUACCAAAUUUUAUCACUGCAAGUCUCAUAUGGCAUUUACAAAGUAAAAAAUGCCAUUUAACAAAGAAAACAAUGGGAAUGUACAGUUUAGGAUGUAGACAAAUUUUUGUCACAGAAAAACAAACAUGUCAGGCUUUUUAUUUCAAAUUUACUAUCUAUUCUUUCAUAACUUUUGAUUACAAUUUUUAAAUAGUUGGUCAAGGGAGACUACUCUGACACCAAAUAUGCUAACAACAAUGCCACUACCAUUUUAUUCGCACCUCUUUGACAUUUCUUGUUGCUCAAGACCCCAUAAUUUGGUAUUAGUAUACGACACUAGAAACGCUAAAUCAGGUUUCUGUUAUAUUUUCAGAAUAUGCAGAAAAAAAUGCAGAUUACAAAUAUGUAAUUUGAUUUCCUCGGAGAUAAAUAGUUUUUAAAAUAUAUAUUUUUAAGUUUUAUUUCUUAUUACCAUAUAUUGUCAUUGGAAAUACGCCAUUUUGGUUUUAAGGCUUAAUACUAGACUAUCUCCCUUGAAUUACUUGCCAACUUUUUUCUGUUGCUGCUUUGUCUUUCUUUCUAGCAGCUAUUAGAUCUAAUAUUAAAAUUCAUUUAAACUGCAAACAAUCUUUUGUACUUUGAAAAAUAACUAAAAAUCGAAAUUAAAAUCAUGUAGUUAAAGUAAUACAACAGACAAAAAAAUUAAUAGAAAAAUAAAAAAAUAACUCUAAGCCUAACAAAAUAUCUUUUAUUGACAAAAUAAAAGUAAUUAAAUAAAUAGAUACCGGUACCCUGACUUUAAAUACAUGAAAAUAAUAGACAUUAAAUGUUAUUUAAGAUAUUAAAAGCAUGCAAGAAAAAAAUCAAAUAGCCAAAUAGAUCUAAUCUGAAUAGAUUGUAAGAUGAAAUAUUAAUCAACACUUAAAAAUUUAGGCUAAAGCAUCAUACUCCAAGCAGUGGAUUUGGCAAAAAACAGUUACAUGUGGCCUCUUGUGGUACAACCACAUCAAAGUGAUUACCAUUUGUAUGCAAUAGUGUUAUGUUGCAGCAUAUAUGGUUGUCUGUGUGAGAUAGUAUGUAUGUGUUUGCAUCAUGAAAUAAAGGUUUUAAUAAUA